AUUCCGGUUGAUCCUGCCGGAGGCCACUGCUAUGGGGGUCCGACUAAGCCAUGCGAGUCAAGGGGGCGUCCCUUCUGGGACGCCACCGGCGGACGGCUCAGUAACACGUCGGUAACCUACCCUCGGGAGGGGGAUAACCCCGGGAAACUGGGGCUAAUCCCCCAUAGGCCUGGGGUACUGGAAGGUCCCCAGGCCGAAAGGGAGCCGUAAGGCUCCGCCCGAGGAUGGGCCGGCGGCCGAUUAGGUAGUUGGUGGGGUAACGGCCCACCAAGCCGAAGAUCGGUACGGGCCGUGAGAGCGGGAGCCCGGAGAUGGACACUGAGACACGGGUCCAGGCCCUACGGGGCGCAGCAGGCGCGAAACCUCCGCAAUGCGGGAAACCGCGACGGGGGGACCCCCAGUGCCGUGCCUCUGGCACGGCUUUUCCGGAGUGUAAAAAGCUCCGGGAAUAAGGGCUGGGCAAGGCCGGUGGCAGCCGCCGCGGUAAUACCGGCGGCCCGAGUGGUGGCCACUAUUAUUGGGCCUAAAGCGGCCGUAGCCGGGCCCGUAAGUCCCUGGCGAAAUCCCACGGCUCAACCGUGGGGCUCGCUGGGGAUACUGCGGGCCUUGGGACCGGGAGAGGCCGGGGGUACCCCCGGGGUAGGGGUGAAAUCCUAUAAUCCCGGGGGGACCGCCAGUGGCGAAGGCGCCCGGCUGGAACGGGUCCGACGGUGAGGGCCGAAGGCCAGGGGAGCGAACCGGAUUAGAUACCCGGGUAGUCCUGGCUGUAAAGGAUGCGGGCUAGGUGUCGGGCGAGCUUCGAGCUCGCCCGGUGCCGUAGGGAAGCCGUUAAGCCCGCCGCCUGGGGAGUACGGCCGCAAGGCUGAAACUUAAAGGAAUUGGCGGGGGAGCACUACAAGGGGUGGAGCGUGCGGUUUAAUUGGAUUCAACGCCGGGAACCUCACCGGGGGCGACGGCAGGAUGAAGGCCAGGCUGAAGGUCUUGCCGGACGCGCCGAGAGGAGGUGCAUGGCCGCCGUCAGCUCGUACCGUGAGGCGUCCACUUAAGUGUGGUAACGAGCGAGACCCGCGCCCCCAGUUGCCAGUCCCUCCCGCUCGGGAGGGAGGCACUCUGGGGGGACUGCCGGCGAUAAGCCGGAGGAAGGGGCGGGCGACGGUAGGUCAGUAUGCCCCGAAACCCCCGGGCUACACGCGCGCUACAAUGGGCGGGACAAUGGGUGCCGACCCCGAAAGGGGGAGGUAAUCCCCUAAACCCGCCCUCAGUUCGGAUCGCGGGCUGCAACUCGCCCGCGUGAAGCUGGAAUCCCUAGUACCCGCGCGUCAUCAUCGCGCGGCGAAUACGUCCCUGCUCCUUGCACACACCGCCCGUCACUCCACCCGAGCGGGGCCUAGGUGAGGCCCGAUCUCCUUCGGGAGGUCGGGUCGAGCCUAGGCUCCGUGAGGGGGGAGAAGUCGUAACAAGGUAGCCGUAGGGGAACCUACGGCUCGAUCACCUCCU
rnacentral:rRNA from 2 species